rnacentral:rRNA from 1 species
GUGCCAGCCGCCGCGGUAAUACGUAGGGUGCGAGCGUUGUCCGGAAUUACUGGGCGUAAAGAGCUCGUAGGUGGUUUGUCGCGUCGUUUGUGUAAGCCCAUGGCUUAACUGUGGGACUGCAGGCGAUACGGGCAUAACUUGAGUGCUGUAGGGGAGCUGGAAUUCCUGGUGUAGCGGUGAAAUGCGCAGAUAUCAGGAGGAACACCGAUGGCGAAGGCAGGUCUCUGGGCAGUUAACUGACGCUGAGGAGCGAAAGCAUGGGGAGCGAACAGGAUUAGAUACCCGGGUAGUCC